UUGGGCCGAGGGUGAUUUGAAGUUAUCCCUGUCUGAAGAGUUGUGAAGAGUUGUGGUUUACUGAGGCUCAA
rfam:Neotoma lepida isolate 417 scaffold_16, whole genome shotgun sequence.